AUGCAGCUGUCCUUACCCACAGGUUGGGGGGCCGGUGUCUGCGCCCCUCCCUCAGCCCCUUUCCCCUGGCCAGCCCACAGCAGAGGGGAGGAGGCCACAUUCCCCAGCACAGGGCUUCACAGACUCACCCCACACGUGCCUGUCCAGACCCAGAGGGCUCCCCACGUCACAUGGGUCACAAGGAAGGACUGUGCCGCGGACACACACGGGACCUUGUGCACACUGGGGGUCCAGAAAGCCCACGGUUGGGUGGGCGCCAAAAAAGCCCUUGGCCCCAGCUUAGUCUGUGCUUUUUCAGUGACUGAGACUGGUGGUCUACACACAGAAGCCUGCCCAGCUCACGGUGGAGCCGAGAUGUCCAAGAUCAUGGUGCCAGCAUCCGGUGAGGACUUCCUGCUGCGACUUGCCGGGGCACAGGGGCUCAGGUGCCAAGAGGGAGUGUGUGUGGGGCCAGAGUGCAUGUGGGGUCACAGCCUCAUGUGGGGACACAGCUGUGUAUGGGGACAGAGCACAAGUAGGGGCAGAGCUGCGUGUGGGAACAGAGUGUGGGUGGGGUCACAGCCACAUGCGUGGGGUCACAGCCGUGUGUGGGGACAGAGCUGUGUGUGGAGACAGAGUGCAUGUGGGGUCACAGCCACAUGUGUGGGUCACAGCUGUGUGGGGGGACAGAGUGUGUGUGGGGUCACAGCCACGUGUGGGGACGCAGCACGUGUGGAGAUGGAGCCGUGUGUGGGGUUGGAGCCAGGUGCCAGCUUGGGCGUCUCCUCUGGUUACUCAGCCACAGGAGCCAUGACCGCAUUGCACCCUGACCACCUCCCCAUCCCCGCCACACCUGCAUGUGAACUCUGGGCUGAUGGGUGUGUGGCAUUCUGGGGUCAGGGCUGGCCUGAGGUCUCCAGGGAGGUGAUGGGGCCUGGGACUCCUCCCGCAGGGCUCUGCAGUACCUCUGCCCACCGGAACCUCAUGAGGAGCCCUUCUUUGGAAAUGGGGUCUUGGCAGAUCGAGCCACUGAGUGACCCUGAGAUGGGGCCAUCCUGGAUUGGGGUGGGCCCUGACACCCUGGACAGUGUCGGAGGAGGUGGCUAG
rnacentral:lncRNA from 1 species